UUAAAAUUAGUUAAACUACAUAACAUAAGCCUGUCACGCUUAAAUUAUCCUAUGGAUAUUUUAAC
rnacentral:tRNA from 1 species